rnacentral:rRNA from 1 species
UACGAAGGGGGCGAGCGUUGUUCGGAAUUAUUGGGCGUAAAGGGCGCGUAGGCGGCCCUGUAAGUCAAAGGUGAAAUCCCUCGGCUCAACUGAGGAACUGCCUUUGAAACUGCAGGGCUUGAGGCCGGGAGGGGGUAGCGGAAUUCCCAAUGUAGCGGUGAAAUGCGUAGAUAUUGGGAGGAACACCAGUGGCGAAGGCGGCUACCUGGACCGGUUCUGACGCUGAGGCGCGAAAGCGUGGGUAGCAAACAGG